AUUGAACGCUGGCGGCAGGCCUAACACAUGCAAGUCGAGCGAGCGGCGGACGGGUGAGCAAUGUAUGGGAAUUGGCCUGAGGGAGGGGGAUAAGUACCGGAAACGGUUGCUAAUAACGCAUACCUGAGGAUGGGCCCAGAUGGGAUUAGCUAGUAGGUGGGGUAAUGGCUUACCAAGGCGACGAUCCCUAGCUGGUCUGAGAGGAUGACCAGCCACACUGGAACUGAGACACGGUCCAGACUCCUACGGGAGGCAGCAGUGGGGAAUAUUGGACAGUGGGCGCAAGCCUGAUGCAGCCAUGCCGCGUGUGUGAAGAAGGCCUUCGGGUUGUAAAGCACUUUCAGCGAGGAGGCGUUACUCGCAGAAUAAGCACCGGCUAACUACGUGCCAGCAGCCGCGGUAAUAC
rnacentral:rRNA from 1 species